AAAAACUAUAGCAGCAGGUGUGUUGCACAGAAAGCAUGCAAUUUACUUUAAAGUAAGCAGAACUGUUGCAUCCAUCGGAAAGUAAUGUGACUCACAUGGGCCGACCGCCUUGGCAGAAAAAGGAAGAAAAAGGGGGAGGAAGAAAAGGGGUUCCCUGCUCUGGGACAUCACUCAUCUUACCUCCAGCUGAAGUAUGGAAAGACGCGUAUGAUGAGCGGCUUCCUUCUAAGUGCAGCUCAGGGGCUUGUUAAGGCGGCGGUAUGGUGAAGACCACACGUCCAACGUUUUGCUUCCAGACUCAGUCAGGGUUUCUAACACUUAAUGACAUCAACAGCCAACGAAAACCAUCUGAGGCUCUGCUCAUUGUUGUUGCAUGCUCCUCAUGAAGCUUGACAGGAAGAUGCUUCUUCUGGAAAAUGAACAUGAGAUGGACCUGUUCGUUCCUGCGUUCUUCUUCGCCCUCCAAGGCAUCAUCAAAGAUGUGCAACUCUGAUGAGCAACAACUCAGCUCACCAUGUGUCCUCCUGCUAAUCACACUCCCAGAGAAGAAAAGGAGGGAGGAGGAGGUGGGGAGGAAGCAGGAGCAGAGGAAGAAGGAAUAAAAGACAAGAAUAUAUAGGAUGAGUAGUCAGCCUGUCUCCAGCCUGGACACACACACAUGCACAUGUAGAUGGCGUUAAUACCUGCGCCGGCAAUGAGCUUCAUUCGGAUGACCAUAUGACAAGAUGGCGACUGUGUGAUUUGGAUAGUGUGUGACAGAAGACAGAGGCAGAGUGCAGAACAGACACCCGGUUUGAUGAGGGAGUGUUUGCUCUGUAACACAUCUCAAACCCAACAGCACCUGUUCUUUUACAGUGGUCUGUCACUUCCUGGCAGUUCUGAUACCAAGAUACCGUGCUAAUGAGAGAGAAGGGGGGUUGUCACUCUUAAGCACACACACACACACACACACACACACACACACACACACACCCCCCCACACACACACACACAGAGACAUGCGCACUCUUUUUGUCUCUCGUUUUCACAAAUACUAGAGCUGUAAAAAUAAGGAGCUGCGUACAGAUGAUUUUCUUCCUACAGAUGCCUGUAGGCUACAGUAUUUCAUCAGAAAUAGGGAGAAUUUUGUAGUUCUCUAUUUUAUGUAUGUAUAUGUCACAUUUUUUUUAAUAUAGGGGUGAUUGAAAGAUUGAAAAGAAACUGAACAUAAAUGUUAAUUAAAGGGUUUUUUAAGUCAGGUUGUGUUCAAAUAUUAUAGCCCCUUAAUUUCUUAUGGUGGUGGAUAACCUCCUCUGUGUCAGAGACAGAGCAGCUAGGCCUCAUCGGACUAUACUGUCUAAAGACAAGUUUUGUUUUAAAAAAUGUCAAAUGAACUUACUAACAUGUCUAUAUUAGUAAAAAUCUGUAA